rnacentral:rRNA from 1 species
GAUGAACGCUGGCGGCGUGCUUAACACAUGCAAGUCGAACGGACAGGUCCUGCUUUUGCGGGGUGCUCGAGUGGCGAACGGGUGAGUAACACGCGAGUAACCCGUCCUUGUCUUUGGGAUAACUCUAGGAAACUGGGGCUCAUACCGGAUAGGAGCUCUUGAUGCACGGUGGGGGUUGGUAAGUUUCGGCGGUUGGGGCUGGACUCGCGGGUUAUCGGCUUGUUGGUGGGGUAGUGGCUUACGAAGGCUUCGACGGGUAGCCGGCCUGAGAGGGGAGCCGGCGACAAUGGGACUGCGAUACGGACCAGACGGGAACGGGAGGCAACAGGGGAAAAUAUUACAGAAUGAGGGGAAGCCUGAUGCGACGGCGCCGCGUGCGGAAAAACGGCCUUCGGGUGAAAAACCGCUUUGGACUGAAACGAAGCGGGAGUGACGGUAAUGGAUAAGAAAGCACCGGCUAACUACGUG